rnacentral:rRNA from 1 species
AACGAACGCUGGCGGCAUGCCUAACACAUGCAAGUCGAACGAGACCUUCGGGUCUAGUGGCGCACGGGUGCGUAACGCGUGGGAACCUGCCUUUAGGUUCGGAAUAACUCAGAGAAAUUUGAGCUAAUACCGGAUGAUGUCUUCGGACCAAAGAUCUAUCGCCUUUAGAUGGGCCCGCGUUGGAUUAGCUAGUUGGUGGGGUAAAGGCCUACCAAGGCGACGAUCCAUAGCUGGUCUGAGAGGAUGAUCAGCCACACUGGGACUGAGACACGGCCCAGACUCCUACGGGAGGCAGCAGUGGGGAAUAUUGGACAAUGGGCGAAAGCCUGAUCCAGCAAUGCCGCGUGAGUGAUGAAGGCCUUAGGGUUGUAAAGCUCUUUUACCCGAGAUGAUAAUGACAGUAUCGGGAGAAUAAGCUCCGGCUAACUCCGUG